rnacentral:pre_miRNA from 1 species
GUAACAUUAACAAUUGAGGUAGAUUGUUGGAUGACUUAAUUUUAAAGCCAUUCAACUAUCUGUCUUCUCUUGUUAAAUUAC